ensembl:lncRNA
GUUUUGAUUCCUCUUCAGAGUAAGAUCAGUAGGGAGUGUGCCGUCAUUGUAAGAUCCGACGAACUUAAAGUCACUGGUACGUGAACCGGUUGUCAUGUAAGCGUCAUAAUUGUAAGAACUACGCAGAGUUCCAGUUCCAUCCACAUCUGCAUAGUUGGGAGGGAAGUACGCGCUGGGAAUGGCGACUGCUCCAUCAAACAACAUUCUAGGCUUUGUCCUACGACAGAACUUCACGGCCAGGAUGAGAAUAAUGAAAGUCAGGAAAAAGGUGGAGACGGAGACCAGUGCAAUGAUCAAAUAGGAAGUUAGUUUGGAACCCUCCUCAUGAGAAAUGUCUUUCAGUUCUGGAACUUCAGCCAAGUUGUCUGAUAUGAGUAAAUAUACAUCACAGGUUGUAGAGAGAGAGGGCUGUCCGUUAUCUUUCACUGAUAUAACAAGGUUCUGCUUCAUACUGUCAGAUUCAGUAAUGUCCCGCUGUGCCCUGAUCUCUCCACUGUGGAGACCAAUAGUGAAAAGUCCCGGAUCAGACGAUUUAACGAUCUGAUAUGAAAGCCACGCGUUCUGUCCAGAGUCAGCAUCCACAGCUAUCACCUUGGAAACCAGGGACCCAGCCAGAGCAGCUUUGGGGACCAUUUCAGUCAUCAAGGAGUUUCCUGCUGGAGCAGGAUAUAAUAUCUGGGGAGAGUUAUCAUUCUCAUCUGUUAUGAAGACACUCACAGUCACGUUACUGCUGAGGGGAGGAGGACCAUUGUCUCUGGCUACAACGUGGACUUUGAAGCUCCUAAACUGCUCAUAAUCAAAUGCUCUCACAGCAUGGAUCACCCCUGUGUCUCCGUUAAUGGAUAAAAAGGAUGACACCGGAACACCGUUGACUUCACUGGGCAAUAGAGAAUAGACCACUGUGCCGUUCUGUCUCCAGUCUGGGUCUCUGGCAGUAACUGAACACAUAGAGGAGCCUGGCUUGUUAUUUUCAGUCACAUAGGCGCUGUAGGAUUGUUCUUCAAACAC